rnacentral:rRNA from 1 species
AGAGUUUGAUCAUGGCUCAGAUUGAACGCUGGCGGCAUGCUUUACACAUGCAAGUCGAGCGGCAGCGCGGGGCAACCUGGCGGCGAGCGGCGAACGGGUGAGUAAUAGAUAGGAACGUGUCCGAGAGUGGGGGAUAACUAGCCGAAAGGUUAGCUAAUACCGCAUAUUCUCUGCGGAGGAAAGCGGGGGACCAGUAAUGGCCUCGCGCUCACGGAGUGGCCUAUCUCCGAUUAGCUAGUUGGUGAGGUAAAGGCUUACCAAGGCGACGAUCGGUAGCUGGUCUGAGAGGAUGAUCAGCCACACUGGGACUGAGACACGGCCCAGACUCCUACGGGAGGCAGCAGUGGGGAAUUUUGGACAAUGGGGGCAACCCUGAUCCAGCCAUGCCGCGUGCGGGAAGAAGGCCUUCGGGUUGUAAACCGCUUUUAUUCGGAAAGAAGGAGUUCGGGUUAAUACCCUGGAUGACAGACGGUACCGGAUGAAUAAGCACCGGCUAACUACGUGCCAGCAGCCGCGGUA